UAUAGCUCAGUGGCAUAAGUGCCUGCCUGGAAAGCUCAAACUCCUGAGUUUGAUUCCUGGUACCUAAAACAACAAUAGAAUAGCCUGAUAAUGUCCAGCUGAGGGAGGAGUCCUAGGGGUCAGACUUCACAGGGGCAUUCUCAAUUCAAGAGAGUGAGAUAACCGUGAACAAGAGGAACAUUGAAAUUGAAUGUGAGGAAAAGCAAAAAGUCUGAAGAAGCAUUGAAGACACCUCUACCCAGGGCUUCACAAUUAGAAGACCAAAAACCAACUUCCUAGGUUAAAGUCAAGAUCUCAUCAAGGGGUCUCUAUGCCUUCUUGCCUGGCAGCCAGUACCAGGUGGCAGGGUGCCCUGGCUUAUUUCAGCCAAACUCAGAGUGGCUGAGGGAACAGAUACCUAGCCCCACGACAGAGACAUUUAGUAUCUACACCUGGACCCAGGUUUCUACCUUGAUGUUUGCAGACACCAUGAACUGCGGCACCACCAUGCCACCUGCCUUGGAGCCAACUGAGUAUGGACUGAAACUUCCAAAAUCUGUAAGAAUUAAAACUGUGCAUCCCAACUUGGUGAAUCAGGUAUUUCGUCUCAGCAACCAGUAAAAAUUAAUUAAGACAGAAUUUGGUACAAAGGAGUGGGGUUGUUUGCUCUGACUAUACCUGACCAUGCUUUUUUGGGAGGCUUUAGAAAUGGCUUGUGGGCAGAGUUUGGAAAGUUUUGGACAUGUCACUUGAAUGUAGAGCUGGAGCAGCUUAGGCUGUUCUGUAGAGGAGAUUCUUGUCAGAGCUCAGGAGACCAGAAGGCUGAUAGAAAGCCUGAUGGUAAAAACCAGGCUUGGGAGGUUUCUGCUGAGAAGGACUGCAUUGGUUGUUGGACUCCCAAUGAUGUGUGUUACGGCUUGACAGUUUAUCUGCAUUUUGCUCAUGCACUGAAACUUUGCUUGAGACUAAGACUAAGGGCAAUGGACUGAUUAAGCUGGAAAAGGAAAUUUCAAGCAGUCAAAUGUUGAGGCUUUGGCAUAGCUAUUGUUGGGGGCUUUUAGCCAGAUUUAUGUUGCAAAUCAAGAGCAAAGAGCCCAGCAGGAUAAUUUAUAAUACUGUGAGUUUGGCCAGAAGGAAACUCCAGUGAAGCUAUGGAUUAUAAAGUUCAAACUAAGACUUAGAUUGCUGAGAAGAAACAGAGAGAUAAGAAAGAUGGCCCCAGAGCAUCCCAGGAAGCAGCAGGUCUCUGACCUUUGCAGCCUCAAAACUGCAAAAGUGAAAGAAUUUGCUCAGAAUGAUGAAGGAAGCCUCAUGAGGUUCCAGAAUGGGAGCAAAACAGAAAAGCUUUUUUUCACAAGCAGGUUAACCAGCCUGUAGGCAAUUGAUCCCUACAGCCAAGAGAGAAAAAAGUGUGGCUACUGAUCCAGAUGGCAGCAACCCUUGGCAGCAUCCACAGGGUGCUGAUUUUCAGUGCAAGGGAAAUGCACAAAUUCUGAAGGUAAGAUGACUUCCACCUCAAUUGCAAAGGGCCUGGGAGGACAAGCAAUGUGCCCCUGAGAGGGUAAUUUGUAAAGAUGUAAGGGUGAAGCCAAAGGUGCGAUGGAGACCCCAGAAGUUUGGAAAAUCCAGGAACGUGGUUGAUCCAAGGAAAGCUGCAAAAAGUGAGCAGAGAGGAUUUAAGAGAAAAGCUGCAGAAGCUGAAAUCCCUGGAAGUGCCAUGAGGGUGGAAUCACACAAGCCUUUUGGAGCUUGCAACCAGAUUGCUUCAGAUGCUGAGCAUGGAAUUCUGGGACUUAAUGUUUUCCCUGCUGGAGGUUGGACUUGUUUUGUUUCCAGUGCUUUAUAUUCCUCUGUUUGUAACUUUUGGAAUGGUAAUGUUUAUCUUGUGCCUUUGCAUUUCAGAAAUGUUUAACCUUGUUUCAUUUGUACAAGAGGUUACAGUUAAGAGUUUGCCAUUGAUCUUGGAGGAGACUUGGGACUUGGACUUGUCAGUAAUGAUGAAACUGUUAGGACUUUGGCAACUCUUGGAGAUGGACUAAAUGUGUUUUAUAUCAAGGAUGUACAUGAGUCCUGUGGGCUAGAGGUAGACUGUCAUGGUUUAUGUUGGUUGCCCCUAGGGCUCAUGCAUUUACAUUAUGCAUCUGUGAUUGAUUCAUUGUAAGUGCUUGGAUUGAUAGUGUCAGUGGUACACCCACCUAGGGGUGGAGCCAGGAUGUGAUGUGUCUUUUUCUCUUGCCCCUUUCUACCUUGCCAUUUGCAGCCACCAAGAACUGUGGACCUUUCUUGCUACCCUGCCUUGGAGCCAACUGAGUAUGGACUGAAACUUCCAAAAUCUGUAGAAAAUAAACCUUUCCUUCACAACUUGGUGCAUCAGGUAUUUGUCUCAGUGACCAAUAAAAAUUAAAUAAGACAGAUGGUGAGGGAACUGGCUGAGACAGACUGCAGGAUUCACAGGUUUGUUAAUGGUGAUCACUAUGAAAUCCACUGGCAGCAAGUCAACUGGGAUGGGUUGCAUGCUCAGUGAUUUCGAUAAAUUCAAAUGUAGCAGAGAUUACAAGGUUAAGGUGAGGAAAAGAAAACUCUGGACAUUUUGUGAAUCUAAAUGGCCCACCCUUGUGGAUAGAUGGGCAGAGGAAAUGCUUGACCUUCAGAGAGCCUACAGGGUAUGAAAUUUAAUUACUGGAAACCCAGGGCAUAUAGAUCAGUUUCCAUAUAUCAAUUCCUAGAUAAAAGUGACUUCUCCUUGGCUUACACUAUAUUUGGAGUCUUCUAGAACAGGCAUUGGUAAUU